rnacentral:rRNA from 1 species
UGGGGAAUUUUGGACAAUGGGCGAAAGCCUGAUCCAGCAAUGCCGCGUGUGUGAAGAAGGCCUUCGGGUUGUAAAGCACUUUUGUCCGGAAAGAAAUCCUUGGCUCUAAUACAGUCGGGGGAUGACGGUACCGGAAGAAUAAGCACCGGCUAACUACGUGCCAGCAGCCGCGGUAAUACGUAGGGUGCAAGCGUUAAUCGGAAUUACUGGGCGUAAAGCGUGCGCAGGCGGUUUGCUAAGACCGAUGUGAAAUCCCCGGGCUCAACCUGGGAACUGCAUUGGUGACUGGCAGGCUAGAGUAUGGCAGAGGGGGGUAGAAUUCCACGUGUAGCAGUGAAAUGCGUAGAGAUGUGGAGGAAUACCGAUGGCGAAGGCAGCCCCCUGGGCCAAUACUGACGCUCAUGCACGAAAAGCGUGGGGAGCAAACAGGAUUAGAUACCCUGGUAGUCCACGCCCUAAACGAUGUCAACUAGUUGUUGGGGAUUCAUUUCCUUAGUAACGUAGCUAACGCGUGAAGUUGACCGCCUGGGGAGUACGGUCGCAAGAUUAAAACUUAAAGGAAUUGACGGGGUCAUAGCUGUUUCCU